rnacentral:lncRNA from 1 species
AGCAAUGGACAUAUUAGAAACAGGAAGAAUUUUUAUUUUAGAGACUCGGUAUGAAAGACAAGAGAGAGAUGGGGAGCAAGCGGAGCACAGUGGCCCUCACCUGUAGUACCAGCUACUCAGGAGGCUGAGGCAGGAGUAUCCCUGGAACCCAUAGCAUGCUGUAAAUGUGCCUGUGAAUAGCCACUGAACUCCAACCUGGGAAACAUAGC